rnacentral:rRNA from 1 species
UACGGAAGGCAGCAGUGGGGAAUAUUGCACAAUGGGCGAAAGCCUGAUGCAGCUAUGCCGCGUGUAUGAAGAAGGCCUUAGGGUUGUAAAGUACUUUCAUCGGGGAGGAAAAAACAAAACUAAUAAUUUUAUUUCUUGACGUUACCCGAAAAAGAAGCACCGGCUAACUCCGUGCCAGCAGCCGCGGUAAUACGGAGGGUGCUAGCGUUAAUCAGAAUUACUGGGCGUAAAGAGCACGUAGGUGGUUUUUUUAAGUCAGAUGUGAAAUCCCUGGGCUUAACCUAGGAACUGCAUUUUGAAACUGAAAUACUAGAGUAUCGUAGAGGGAGGUAGAAUUCUAGGUGUAGCGGUGAAAUGCGUAGAUAUCUGGAGGAAUACCUGUGGCGAAAGCGGCCUCCUAAACGAAUACUGACACUGAGGUGCGAAAGCGUGGGGAGCAAACGAGGAUUAGGAUAACC